UCAAAGGAGAAAUCCGCUUUGAGAUGGGCCCGCGGCUGAUUAGCUAGUUGGCGGGGUAACGGCCCACCAAGGCGACGAUCAGUAGCCGGUCUGAGAGGGUGACCCGCCAUACUGGAACUGAAAUACGGUCCAGACUCCUACGGGAGGCAACAGUGAGGAAUUUUCCGCAAUGGGCGCAAGCCUGACGGAGCAACGCCGCGUGAGUGAAGAAGGUCUUCGGAUUGUAAAGCUCUGUGAAAAUGAUGGGUAAUAAUGAUGGUACCUUUUGAAUAAGCCCCGGCUAACUACGUGCCAGCAGCCGCGGUAAUACGUAGGGGGCGAGCGUUGUCCGGAGUUACUGGGCGUAAAGAGCGUGUAGGCGGUUGGAAAAGUCAGGUGUGAAAUUCUUCGGCUCAACCGGGGGACUGCGCCUGAAACUUUCCGACUGGAGUUUGGGAGGGGCAACUGGAAUUCCUGGUGUAACGGUGAAAUGUGUAGAUAUCAGGAGGAACACCCGUGGCGAAGGCGACUUUCUGGACCAAAACUGACGCUGAGGCGCGAAAGCGUGGGGAGCAAACAGGAUUAGAUACCCUGGUAGUCCACGCCGUAAACGAUGAGUGCUAGGUGUCGAGGGUAUCGACUCCUUCGGUGCCACAGUUAACACAUUAAGUAUUCCGCCUGGGGAGUACGGCCGCAAGGUUAAAACUCAAAGGAAUUGACGGGGGCAAGCACAGGAGUAUGUGGUUUAAUUCGAUGAUACGCGAGAAACCUUACCUGGUCUUGACAUGCUGGGAACCCUUAAGAGAUUAGGGGGUGCCUGCUUGCAGGAGCCCAGAGACAGGUGGUGCAUGGUUGUCGUCAGCUCGUGUCGUGAGAUGUUGGGUUAAGUCCCGCAACGAGCGCAACCCCUAUGUUUAGUUGCCAGCACGUAAAGGUGGGCACUCUAGACGAACUGCCGGUGACAAACCGGAGGAAGGUGGGGAUGACGUCAAGUCCUCACGGCCCUUAUGAUUAGGGCUACACACGUACUACAAUGGCCGGUACAGACGGAAGCGAAGCCGCGAGGUGAAGCAAAUCCGAGAAAGCCGGUCUCAGUUCGGAUUGCAGGCUGCAACUCGCCUGCAUGAAGUCGGAAUCGCUAGUAAUCGCAGGUCAGCAUACUGCGGUGAAUACGUUCCCGGGCCUUGUACACACCGCCCGUCACACCACGAAAGUCUGCAACACCCGAAGCCGGUGGGGUAACCCGCAAGGGAGCUAGCCGUCGAAGGUGGGGCCGAUAAUUGGGGUGAAGUCGUAACAAGGUAACCA
rnacentral:rRNA from 1 species